CUACGGGCUGCACCAGUGAGGAAUUUUGCGCAAUGGGGGAAACCCUGACGCAGCAACGCCGCGUGAGCGAAGAAGGCCCUCGGGUCGUAAAGCUCUGUCAAGUGGGAAAAAAAUCUUUUGAUCAACAGUCAAAAGACUUGAUGGUACCACUGGAGGAAGCACCGGCUAACUCCGUGCCAGCAGCCGCGGUAAUACGGAGGGUGCAAGCGUUGUUCGGAUUUACUGGGCGUAAAGAGCGUGUAGGCGGUUUAGCAAGUCAGAUGUGAAAGCCCUGGGCUCAACCCGGGAAGUGCAUUUGAAACUGCUUCACUAGAGUAUGGGAGAGGAGAUUGGAAUUCCUGGUGUAGAGGUGAAAUUCGUAGAUAUCAGGAGGAACACCCGUGGCGAAGGCGAUUCUCUGGACCAAUACUGACGCUGAGACGCGAAAGCGUGGGGAGCAAACAGGAUUAGAUACCCCGGUAGUC
rnacentral:rRNA from 1 species